GCCUCUUGAUUUAACCAUAAGAGGUCCAGCCUGCCCAGUGACAUUGUUCAACGGCCGCGGUAUCCUAACCGUGCGAAGGUAGCGUAAUCACUUGUCCUUUAAAUGAGGACUAGUAUGAAUGGCCCCACGAAAGCUAUACUGUCUCCUUUUUCUAAUCAGUUAAACUAAUCUCCCCGUGAAGAAGCGGGGAUAAACAUAUAAGACGAGAAGACCCUAUGGAGCUUUAAAUAACUGAAACAUUUGCACCCCACUUUAAAUUUCCGAAAUCUACACUUAAUUCCACAUCUUGUUUCUAGUUUUAGGUUGGGGUGACCACGGAGAAAAACCAAACCUCCAUGCCGAAAGAAACAUCUCUAAACAAAAAACUACAAUUUUAUGUAUUAACACAUUAACCUUAAUUGACCCAAUUUAUUGAUCAACGAACCAAG
rnacentral:rRNA from 1 species